CAGAGAGGAGUGUCUUCGAACAGUUGAAUGCUAUGAUCCACACACAGAUCACUGGUCCUUCCUUGCUCCCAUGAGAACACCAAGAGCCCGCUUUCAGAUGGCUGUGCUGAUGGUUAGUACAGUGUGCUCAAAACAGUCCUUUAUCUUGUCUUUUUCCUUAGCACCACCCAAGGGAAAUUCUCACUUAUCACUUUUGACAUAGGGACAGCUUUAUGUGGUGGGUGGAUCAAAUGGACACUCCGAUGACCUGAGCUGUGGAGAGAUGUAUGACCCGAGCAUUGAUGACUGGACCCCUGUGCCAGAGCUGAGAACUAACCGUUGUAAUGCAGGUAAUAAUACUCUACUAACUAACACGGCCAGGGUCUAUUCAUAAUACUUGGGUUAUUAACAUGCUUUACACCUUUCCUAGGAGUGUGUGCUCUGAAUGGGAAACUGUACAUUGUUGGUGGCUCUGAUCCAUAUGGUCAAAAAGGCCUGAAAAAUUGUGAUGUAUUUGAUCCUGUAACAAAGUCAUGGACAAGCUGUGCUCCUCUUAACAUUCGUAAGUUGGUCUCUUUAUUUUGUUUUGUUUUUUUGGGGGGUGGGGGUAUGGUUUGCCUGAAACUUUGUGUAGCCCAAACUGGCUGACCUUGAACUUGUAGUUCUUUAUAAACCUGUGAAUUACUAGAUUGCAGUACACACUUACAGUUCUGAUGGCUUUAAUAAUAAUCCUGGUUUGCUUUAAUUUUUAUAGGUAGACACCAGUCUGCAGUUUGUGAACU
rnacentral:lncRNA from 1 species